rnacentral:rRNA from 1 species
UACGAGUGCCCCGAGCGUUAUCCGGAAUCACUGGGCGUAAAGGGCGCGUAGGUGGCGGGUCAAGCGUGCGGUGAAAGCUCGGGGCUCAACCCCGAGUCGGCCGUGCGAACUGGCCUGCUUGAGCACUGUAGAGGCAGAUGGAAUUCCGGGUGUAGCGGUGGAAUGCGUAGAGAUCCGGAAGAACACCGGUGGCGAAGGCGGUCUGCUGGGCAGUUGCUGACACUGAGGCGCGACAGCGUGGGGAGCAAACAGG